rnacentral:rRNA from 1 species
AUGGGCGAGACGAUCGAGGAUUUGGCACGCGAUGUCUCGGCGCUGUUUCUGCAGGCCAACGGUGAGCAAGAAGGGGCCGCCAGCAUGGACAUGGGGAUAUGUAUGCUGCGCGAGCGGGUGCGCGAGCAGAUGGACAAACUAGUGCAGAGUUUGAUCUCGGCAGACAGGGAACAAGAGAAACGGGAGGCAAUCCCCAUGUUGCAGUCGAUCUCGGAUACUAUCGGGCACCUCGGUGCCGCCAACGGCCAACCGUCAGUCACGGAGGAGUUGGAUGACGAGAAGGUCGAGGCCAUCGACAGCGGCAACCUGAAGGAGGAGGAGGAGGAGGAGGAAGAGGAACUUGAUGAGACGGGCAUGAGCGGCAGGGAAGGCAGAGUCGCGGAAGAAUCGGUGGUCUACCGCGAACGCAAUGCAGCCGCGGAGGCGGAGACCAACCCGGGAGCCGAGGAAGUGGACUACGCCGAGCACGAGGAGGAGGCAUUCGCUCGCUUCCGCACGGACUGGGAGCGUCGCAAAGGCAAACACUGCUUCGAAGACCUGAUCACCGACGUGAAACUCUUCAAGUGGCCGCUGCAGGUGCACGGCGUCGUUGCUGCCAGAGAUGCUGUGGAUGAGCACCGCAACCCCAUCUUUCUUCGUUCAAGGGAUGACUGCCAAAUCCUCAAUGAAGCGGAUCCUUUUCUAUACCUGACUGGCCCAGUUCGUGCAAUUGUGCCCGAGAAGCCCGUUCACAUCGAAAUCCAACUCAAAGUAAAGGGCACAACGGCCUCCCAAGAUAGAGCGUUGCUCAGUUAUAUCUUUUAUUAUGAUGGCGAUUAUUAUGAAGCUAGUUCAAGUACGAUCAUCAUUGAAAAGCACUCUUGCACACUAGAGUUAGGCGCCCAACAGCUUAAACGUUCAGUUCAAGCCACUAUCUUUGGUGUUCAUGUUGCUGAUUACAAAUCAAAUCCUUUUGAGCAUGGAGUUCGAGUGGUUUGCUCCUCACUAUCUCAGCAGCACGACGCCGAUGAGUCCCCAUCUAUGGAAGUUGUGUUGCUUGAAUCGAAAGUUGGAAGAAAGCAUGCAGUGAAACGUGGUUACCUCAAUCUGUCAAGGCAAGUUGUUUCUGUAAACUUGAGUGGAAAGCUUAAAGUUCUCAUUGAAGCAUACACACCAUCCGGGGAAAUCAUGACACAGGGUCAUGUCUUCGUCAUGCCCAAAACAAGCAACACCAGCCAACAUGCAUGUGACCUUGAUGGCUUCAAGGUGGAGUUUACCGUUGCUUGGUCCUUUCUUGUUCAAGAUGAGGAGCAUAUCUCGAUGAAUGGGCGUGCGGAUCCUUUGGCACCACGUCCCGUAAAUCCCUCCCUUUUCCUCAAGGAGACCACGGCAAAACCGACAAAGGUAGUACAUAAAUGGCAACCUCCUGAUCAUCCUUUUAUCAAGGUCAAUGUGGAUGCUUCUUUCCAUGAAGAAACACAACAAGGUGGCACGGGACUGGGCAUUCGCAAUCACGAGGGCACUUUGCUACGUGCCCAAGCAAUAUGGUAUGAUGCGGGGCUUAGCGCAAUGGCCAUGGAGGCUUAUGCAAUCCGAGAUGGGGUCCAACUGGCACGCAACAUUGGUAUGCGGAAGGUGAUAGUUGAAACCAAUGCCCAAACAAUGGUGAACAUGUGGAAUGCUAGAUGUUUCGAUCGUUCCGAGAUAGCUGCCACUUUGCAUGAAAUACAAGAGCUUUGUGGGACUCUAGAGGAGUUCCGCUUAGUAUUCACGACAAGGGAAGAGAAUGAAUUGGCGCAUCUUUGUGCAGAACAAUGUAGUGCCACUAGGAGAAGGUGUUUAUGGAUUAAUUAUAUCCCAUCCUUCCUUGCCGAUUGUGUAAAGAAGGAAUGUAAUCCAACUAUAUGA